rnacentral:rRNA from 1 species
UACGGAGGGGGGCUAGCGUUGUUCGGAAUUACUGGGCGUAAAGCGCGCGUAGGCGGACCUGCAAGUCGGGGGUGAAAGCCCGGGGCUCAACUCCGGAAUUGCCUUUAAGACUGCAUCGCUAGAAUUGUGGAGAGGUGAGUGGAAUUCCGAGUGUAGAGGUGAAAUUCGUAGAUAUUCGGAAGAACACCAGUGGCGAAGGCGACUCACUGGACACAUAUUGACGCUGAGGUGCGAAAGCGUGGGGAGCAACAGGAUUAA